GAGAUUUGCAUUACAUCUGGGUUAGAGUAAAUAGGCGGGAUCGGUUCAGAAGCUUUUGUAGGAGAAGAAUUAUACCACUAUGCAUUUGAAACCAAUGUCAUAGAAGGAUGAGAGUAGAAGAAAUAGCCAAUUUAUAAGCUAUCAAUCCCCAUUUAAUAACUUAAAGUCAUUCCCGAAUAGCAACUUUUUGGAAUUUUACAAGUAUGGAACAUCUCUUUGCUGGUAGAGUUAAAUCGGUAGUGGGCAACGACAAAGUGUUGUAUUCUUGGAAGGCUCUUGAACAGGUGAAGCUUCAAUUACUUCCAGGUUUCCUAGAAUCUAUGUGUUGGCUAAUGGCAAAAAUCGACCCAUCAGUCAGAUUUGGAAGUCUAGCUCCCCUUCGUGGUAUUUAGAUUUCAAAACAAACUUGAACGAUUGGGAGGCGAUAAAGUGGAAUUCUCUUAUGGAUCUUGUAAACAGUACUUGCCCCCACAAGUUUCAGGAUAAAUCUCUAUGGUUCACGGACCCGACAAGUCUUUUUCUGAAAGAUAUUACAACAGAUUCUCAAGUCCUCGACUAUCAUAUAGAGUUUUGGUGAGACUCUUCCCGAAAGAUGAAGAUUGAAGAUCUUCAUUAUUUUUUUUGGGUGCAUCAACACUCAUGAAUCAUGAUAAAGUCCAAAGAAAGAAUCCCAAGAAGUCUCUCCACUUAAAUUGGUAUGCUUUGUGCAAGAACAACAAAGAAACUCAAAACCAUCCUUUCAUCAUCUGCUCAAAUGGCUUCCCAUUUCUGAAUCCCCUGCCCUAAUUAACUCGUCCAGAUGGCUCAUUCAAUCUUAAAUCUUCUCAGGACCAAUUCACCAAGUGGGAUGUUGUUCACACUUCACUGGGAAACUGUGCAUCUCUUGAGGAAAAAUGAGGGGAUGCCCACUAGGUUGUUGGAAGGACCAGAAUGAUAAUAGAAUCUCUCUACACAUUUUGCAUGUGAUGACAAUAAGUUUCAUGGGAGCUUCAUUGAUUGGAACUUUGUCAUUUACUCACUUGCUUCUAUGCUAUCUCAGCCAAUUCUAUGGUGGUAAAAAUUUUCAUCUUUCUUUUUCUUUUUUAUUGUUCUUCCAUAUUAUCCUAUCCUUUGGUAGGGCUAGAUAUAGCCUUUGAUGAAACGAAAACUUGUUGAAAAUGAUGUUGACUUGUGGGAUAUGUUGAUGCUAGAAUUGACUUUAAUUUUGUGGAGGUCUUCAAUGUAUUUUGAAAGGUUUGAGAAUGAACUUUAGUUGGAGGA